rnacentral:lncRNA from 1 species
AGCGUGUCCUAUGCCUUUUUCUUUAUCAAAAAAUGAAUGGUCAUGAUUUAUGGUGGGGAAAACUUACUUGAUUUUUUCCCUUGUAGUGGAAGUUUCCCAUCCUCUCUCCAUCCCUUUCCCGUGGCAUGCCAAGGUCAACUUAUAUGUGAAGCAUUCAGCACGCAGUCACCGGGAUGAUCUUACUGUCAUUUGGAAUGAGAAGGACCAGAUAUCAGUGUCAUCUUCUCUGAAGUUUGGAAGAGACCGUACGAACUACAGAGCUGCCAUUGCCCACCCAUUUAAUUACACUCUGAAGCAACUGGAGGUGCAUUCCCUGUCAAAAAGAAGAGGCAGAAAGUACAACCAGCAGCUGCAGCUCCAAGGGAAUGGUGGGCAGCCUGCUGACAUCCGACUGGCCCUGGAGGAUAAAUCAAAGGUGAACCACACCACCUGGCGUGGCUGUUUGACACUCUCUUCAGGGCAGCUUCAGAGAGUAUUAACUAUGGAACACCUGCAUGCAUGUGGGUCUGUAGAGCAAAGAUCAGCAUUGUUUAAUGAAUAUCUAGAUCUGAACUGGGAUGACAAAAAAUUCAAACACAAUUUAACAUAUGAGAGAAAUCACUUCUGGUAUCCUGAUAAAUUUCAGUUAGAAGCUGUUCUGGAAAAUAUUUUCCUGACCUCAUGCACCAAACAGAAAAUUCUGGGUAAAAUGGAAACAAACUACUCCUCUUGCCUGGACUAUUAUAUGAGCUUUGAGCUCUGUGACCUUCCAGAUGUAAUUGUUUUCUCUGGAAAACACCAGCUCAACAAAGAUGACAUCAUUUUGCAAUCAGAGGGCAGAUUCCGCUUUGGUGAUCGUGAGGGAGAUGAGGGGUUGAUUGGAGUAUCCUUAAAAAAUCAGAGUUCAGCUGAUAAGAAGAACUAUUCCUUGGAAAUUGAAUUAAGAGCCUUUGAAGAUAUUUGGCUAGACCUGACAGGAAUUGCUACUUCCUCAUCCGUUCAGAGCCAAAUCCUGGUGGAGGGAAUUAUUGAUCAGAAAGAGAAAGUAAAAGUGGCUGCUUCUAAAGGAAAGGAGUGUUUUCAGUGCUACAUGGGGUAUUUGAAAGGCAAUUUGGAAGAAGGAAUGGAAGUCAGUGCUUGUACUGAUGGGCAACAGAUGGCUACCGUUAAUACCUAUCUCAACAUCAAUGGUGAAAGGCAAGAAAACAUGGGACAAAUGGCUCUGGCAGCUGUUAAUGGAAGCUUGAGUUUUCUGGCUCAUGGAUGCGGGGAUCCAGUUCUUAAGGCUGAGUACAAACUAUAUGAAAUUGGGAGCCUUCUGAAAGCCAAACUGAUGGAGAAGUUGAAGAAGUUUGAUGAAUAUAUGUGGAGAUGGAGGAGAUCAGUAAGUAUCCGUACAUCAUCUGUGAAAGCACCAUGA